rnacentral:rRNA from 1 species
GGGAUCGAAGAUGAUUAGAUACCAUCGUAGUCUUAACCAUAAACUAUGCCGACUGAGGAUUCUUGAAAUUUGUAAUUGAAUUUAAGAGCACUCCAUGAGAAAUCAAAGUCUUUGGGUUCCGGGGGGAGUAUGGUCGCAAGACUGAAACUUAAAGGAAUUGACGGAAGGGCACACCAGGAGUGGAGCCUGCGGCUUAAUUUGACUCAACACGGGGAAACUUACCAGGUCCAGACAAAGUAAGGAUUGACAGAUUGAGAGCUCUUUCUUGAUUCUUUGGGUGGUGGUGCAUGGCCGUUCUUAGUUGGUGGAGUGAUUUGUCUGGUUAAUUCCGAUAACGAACGAGACCCCAACCUGCUAACUAGACUGCGUUAUCUUCUCGAUAGCUCAGCGCUUCUUAGAGGGACAUUUCGGAUUUACCGGAAGGAAGUUUGAG